rnacentral:rRNA from 1 species
GGACGGGUGAGUAAUGUCUGGGAAACUGCCCGAUGGAGGGGGAUAACUACUGGAAACGGUAGCUAAUACCGCAUAACGUCGCAAGACCAAAGUGGGGGACCUUCGGGCCUCACACCAUCGGAUGUGCCCAGAUGGGAUUAGCUAGUUGGUGAGGUAAUGGCUCACCAAGGCGACGAUCCCUAGCUGGUCUGAGAGGAUGACCAGCCACACUGGAACUGAGACACGGUCCAGACUCCUACGGGAGGCAGCAGUGGGGAAUAUUGCACAAUGGGCGCAAGCCUGAUGCAGCCAUGCCGCGUGUAUGAAGAAGGCCUUCGGGUUGUAAAGUACUUUCAGCGAGGAGGAAGGCAUUAAGGUUAAUAACCUUAGUGAUUGACGUUACUCGCAGAAGAAGCACCGGCUAACUCCGUGCCAGCAGCCGCGGUAAUACGGAGGGUGCAAGCGUUAAUCGGAAUUACUGGGCGUAAAGCGCACGCAGGCGGUCUGUCAAGUCGGAUGUGAAAUCCCCGGGCUCAACCUGGGAACUGCAUUCGAAACUGGCAGGCUAGAGUCUUGUAGAGGGGGGUAGAAUUCCAGGUGUAGCGGUGAAAUGCGUAGAGAUCUGGAGGAAUACCGGUGGCGAAGGCGGCCCCCUGGACAAAGACUGACGCUCAGGUGCGAAAGCGUGGGGAGCAAACAGGAUUAGAUACCCUGGUAGUCCACGCCGUAAACGAUGUCUAUUUGGAGGUUGUUCCCUUGAGGAGUGGCUUCCGGAGCUAACGCGUUAAAUAGACCGCCUGGGGAGUACGGCCGCAAGGUUAAAACUCAAAUGAAUUGACGGGGGCCCGCACAAGCGGUGGAGCAUGUGGUUUAAUUCGAUGCAACGCGAAGAACCUUACCUACUCUUGACAUCCACGGAAUUUAGCAGAGAUGCUUUAGUGCCUUCGGGAACYGUGAGACAGGUGCUGCAUGGCUGUCGUCAGCUCGUGUUGUGAAAUGUUGGGUUAAGUCCCGCAACGAGCGCAACCCUUAUCCUUUGUUGCCAGCGGUUCGGCCGGGAACUCAAAGGAGACUGCCAGUGAUAAACUGGAGGAAGGUGGGGAUGACGUCAAGUCAUCAUGGCCCUUACGAGUAGGGCUACACACGUGCUACAAUGGCAUAUACAAAGAGAAGCGACCUCGCGAGAGCAAGCGGACCUCAUAAAGUAUGUCGUAGUCCGGAUUGGAGUCUGCAACUCGACUCCAUGAAGUCGGAAUCGCUAGUAAUCGUAGAUCAGAAUGCUACGGUGAAUACGUUCCCGGGCCUUGUACACACCGCCCGUCACACCAUGGGAGUGGGUUGCAAAAGAAGUAGGUAGCUUAACCCUUCGGGAGGGCGCUUACCACUUUGUGAUUCAUGACUGGGG